AAUACCCAAAAAUAAUACUCGGACUAAGUGUAAGAUUUGUGAUUUCUCUUACAUCUCCACCACCAGGAACCCAGGUAUCGUAUACACCUCCGAAAAAUGAAGCCUUGAAUACCAGGAGAGAAGCACCAAGACCUAGUAAAACAAGAUGAAUACCUAGAAUAGUAGUCAUUUUAUUCUUAUCUUUCCA
rnacentral:antisense_RNA from 1 species